CGCUCAAAAACCGAGCUAGAGUUUUCUUCUCUAGUCAAGGAACGGACUCCCUGGAAUCGGUUCAGCCGUAGAUAGGGGCGGUGUUUCCGUAAAAUUUUCUGUGAUAUCUCGUGUUUUUUGGACGAUCCAUGAAAAACUAAGUGGGGCUAUUAAUCUGUGCUACAUGAUACCGAUAUUCGCAUCAGCUUUCCAAGGUGAAGAGCCUCUAGUCGAUAGCAUAAUGUAGGUAAGAGAAGUCAGCAAAUUUAACUUUUAACUUUACUUUAACUUUAACGUAACUUCGGAAACAGGAUUGGCUCCAGUGAUCGGAUCGAUUGGCUUGUUAUCUGAUGCUUGUACGGAUUUAUCCAUGACCGAUGUCAAAACGUUAUGUAUACGUGUAUACGUAUACGUAUAUGUGAUGAUGUUGAACUAUUCAUAAGACCGUCUUGCGGACAUUCGUAGCUGUGUGCUUUGUUUUCAAAUUAAGUAUCCUGAUCGACCAUUGUAACGGUCGAACUGGAACUGGUACUGACUCGGGGAGUCCAAUUGUCUAAUUAAAACAGAGGAAACAUGGUCCCUGCGAACGUUCACUGUCUCUGAUUUCUGCCCAGUGCUCUGAAUGUUAAAUCGUAGCAAUUCGAAUAAGUGCAGAUGAAUGGCGGGAGUAACUAUGACUUUCCUAAGGUAGCCAAAUGCCUCGUCAGCUAACUACUGACGCAUAUGAAUGUAUUAACGACAUUCCCACUGUCCCUAACUGCUAUUUAGCCAAACCACAAUUAAGGAAAUGGGCUUAGUAAAAAUAGCGAAGAAAGAAGACCCUAUUGAGCUUGUCUCUAGUUUGACAUUGUGAAGAAUCAUGAGAGGUGUAGUUUAGGUGUUAGGUUGAUGAUUUAUUUAAUCGAUUGACAAUGAAAUACCAUCACUUUCAUUGAUUCUUCACUUAUUAGGUCAGAAGAGGAUUGAGUACCGACCUUUUAUUAUGUGUUAAGUACGGUCACCUGGUGACUAUACGACUCUCGCCGAAGACAGUGCCAUGCGGAGAGUUUGACUGAGGCGGUGUAGCAAACAUCCUCCAUGAUGGAGUAUGGUUGCUACUUACAUGUCACAAAUAUCUGUCAUUAGGUAUCAAAUAUUACAUAUCAUAUUGUGGUUUCUGAGUCAUCGUAUCGAAAGUUAGAAGUGGUGGAGGUGAUUGAAAGUGCAAAUGUCCAGAUCCAUAAAAGGCCAUAAUUAUUUCAUAAUUUCAAUUUCCUUCUGGGAUCAAACUUAGUUAAAGGACAGAAAAGGACAUCAUUUCCUCAUACCGAAGUCUCCGCCUCCUCCCUAUAUAAACAGUUACGGUAAAGAUAUCCUCCAUACUCUCACUCAUGACUCAACCCAAACUUCUUCCAUCUUUGCCAUUAAACUGGUUGUCGUUAUAUGAUUAUAUUAUAAAUAUCGCAUAAUUGAUAGUAUUAAUUCUAUUGUGUUAAUACUUAAUUUCUCGCUAUUGUAAUCGUGAUGUAAUAUUUUUGUGUUUUGUUUAAAUAAAGUACUGAUUACCUAAGUUUGAGGUAUGAGCCGCCAUCAAAAUAAAGACUCGCGUGGUAGGCCAAGGUACGAAGAGCACACAAACACGAAGAACCUACAGGCGGUACAUCUGUCAAAUUGUAGCGCAGGUGUCCUAAGGUUAGCUCAGAGAGGACGAGUACCUCCCGUAAAAGGUCAAAAGCUUGCUUGAUCUUGACUUUCAGUAUGAGUACAGACCGCGAAAGCGUGGCUUAUCAAUCCUUCUAAUCCAGAUAGAUUCUGGUAAGAGGUGGCAGAAAAGUUACCACACGGAUAUCUGGCUUGUGGCAGCCAAGCGUCCACAGCAACGUUGCUUUUUGAUCCUUCGGUGUCGGCUCUUCCUAUCAUUGCGAAGCAGAAUUCGCCGAGCGUUGGAUUGUUCACCCACUAAUAGGGAACGUUAGCUGGAUUUAGACCGUCGUGAGACAGGUUAGUUCUACCCUACUGUUGACUAAUUGUUACGAUAGUAAUCCUGCUCUUAGUACGAGAGGAUCAGCAUGUUCAAACACAUGGUUCAUGGACUUGACUGAUCGGUCAAUGGUCCGAGGCUAACAUUUGAGGGAUUAUGACUGAAUGCCUCUUAGUUAGAACCCACCUAGUCAAGGCAAGUAUAUUUGUGUUGGGAAGCAAGUAUAUUUUAUACGUAUAAGUAUAUGCUCUAAUAUAUCGCCAUAGUAAUACUUAAUAAGUUCAUAUUGGUUGCUAAAGCCAGAUUAUUCUGGUUCAAUGUCGGGGCACAGAAUCACAUGUUUACAACCUGUAUUCCCUCUUUUUAUUUGA
rfam:Dictyocaulus viviparus strain HannoverDv2000 D_viviparus-1.0_Cont850.5, whole genome shotgun sequence.